AUCAGAAACACUUAUCUCCGGCAGAUCUAAAAAAAAAACUGGGACAUCUUUGGAAGCCUUCAAAAUUUCAGAGGCCGGUCAGUGAGGAGCAGCUAAAAGGCCACAAUUGCUAACUGUGGAUGGCCAAGCCAAAUGUCUAUGAGAAAGCCCCCUUCUUGGCAUUCCCCGGAGGCUGUGUGACAAAUCAAGGUUACCUUGAAAGGAAUACAGGCUGGAGGAGGGCUGGAUCUAUCCAUCUAUCAAGAUAUGCUCUUCCUGACGCUCUAAACUCUGCUGGACUCCUGGACGGUGUUUGGAAGCCAGCCACGGAGGCCACCAUAACUGCCGAAGUCCUGCUUCUUGGCAUUAUCUGAGUUCUCCCUGUUCCUAGAGAAAGUUAGCCUCUGUCACUGCCCAGUGGGUCUUUACAGGACAUUUUUAUGACAUUAAGGCCAGGUCUGUUGACAAAGGCCAUCAGAGCAGCUGGUAUGGCUGUAACAGCACAUAGCUGGGCCAGGAGAUGCAGCCUAGAGACCCAAUGCUUCUCUUGGCCUUAGUUUCUUCCUCUAAAAAUGGGAAUAAGAAAACCUGGCCAUAAUGGAUGGCAGAAGUCAAUACACUAUUGUAAAGCAAUUAUCCUCUGCUUAUAA
ensembl:lncRNA